rnacentral:rRNA from 1 species
GUGGCGAACGGGUGAGUAACACGUGAGCAAUCUGCCCUUGACUCUGGGAUAAGCGUUGGAAACGACGUCUAAUACCGGAUACGACCUUUGGAGGCAUCUCUGGGGGUGGAAAGAAUUUUGGUCAAGGAUGAGCUCGCGGCCUAUCAGCUAGUUGGUGAGGUAAUGGCUCACCAAGGCGACGACGGGUAGCCGGCCUGAGAGGGUGACCGGCCACACUGGGACUGAGACACGGCCCAGACUCCUACGGGAGGCAGCAGUGGGGAAUAUUGCACAAUGGGCGAAAGCCUGAUGCAGCAACGCCGCGUGAGGGACGACGGCCUUCGGGUUGUAAACCUCUUUUAGUAGGGAAGAAGCGAAAGUGACGGUACCUGCAGAAAAAGCACCGGCUAACUACGUGCCAGCAGCCGCGGUAAUACGUAGGGUGCAAGCGUUGUCCGGAAUUAUUGGGCGUAAAGAGCUCGUAGGCGGUUUGUCGCGUCUGCUGUGAAAACCCGAGGCUCAACCUCGGGCCUGCAGUGGGUACGGGCAGACUAGAGUGCGGUAGGGGAGAUUGGAAUUCCUGGUGUAGCGGUGGAAU